ensembl:lncRNA
GGCCCGGCUGCCCUGUCCCAGGCAUGCUGGGGGCCCAGCCCGCUCCCAGCCUCAGCCCUGAGGCGCCCACACCGCCCCCACAGACAUCUCCUUUCUCUCCCUCCUGAUGGGGAGGAAGGCCAAAAAGGAAGCCCAGGGCGACCCUGAAGCUGGGCGUUCCUACCCAGCUCUGCCCGUUUCCUGCCUCUGGGACAUAGAGCUCUCUUCUGCUGAGAUUCUGACUGUCUGGGAUUCAUUCCCUACCUUUGGAAGAUUUUCCGUAGCUCCUGCCUCCCUGAGAUCCUAGGAGCACCGUUCUGCCCAGCUCACCACCUCCAGCACCGGUUCAAAGUCUGGAGUGUUCAGGAAAUAACUAACUGCUGGAAGAAGAAAUCUGUGAAAUGAGGAUAAAGAGACCCCCCUCAGAAGGGGGAGUCGCCAAGUCAUAUCCUACUCUGCGACCCCAUGGACUGGAGCAUGCCAGGCUUCCCUGUCCUUCACCAUGUCCCCGGGUUCACUCAGACUCGUGUCUAUUGGUCGGUGAUGCCAUCCAACCAUCUCAUCCUCUGUCACUCCCUUCUGCCCUCAGUCUUUCCCAGCAUCAGGAUCUUUUCCAGUGAAUCGGCUCUUCGCAUCAGAUGGUCAAAGUAUUGGAGCUUCAGCUUCAGCAUCAGUCCCUCCAAUGAAUACUCAAGGCUGAUUUCCUUUAGGACUGACUGGCUUGUGAGUGAGUGUUCUUUGAACUGGAACAGUGGGCAAAUCGUCUGCCAGCUGGAGUGUCAGUUUCCCCAUCUGUGAACUCCGGGGUGGCGGCAGGGGGUGCAAGAAGUUGCCUGGGUAGCCUGGAAAGCCCUCCCCACUCAAGGGCUGGGGUUUUACAGGUGCCCUAGCAGGCCAGGUAUCAAGAGCUGGAGUUACAAGUUUACGGAGAUGUUUGCCUAGAAUGUGUUUCACACAAUAAUUGAGCAUUAUUCAUAAAUAGCCAAAAAGUGGAAACCAUCCAAAUCAAAUGUCCACCGUCUGAUGAAGGGACAAACAAAAUGGGGUCUCUCCAGACAGGAUAAUAUUUGGUCAUAAAGGAAAGAAGUGCUUCCCAGGUGGCACUCGUGGUACCUACCUGCCAGUGCAGGAGAUUCGAGAGACACGGGUUCUACCCCUGGUCUGGGAAGAUCCCACAGGCUGUGGGGC